AGUUGUAGGCUUUGCCUGCUAUCUCUUACCCAUGUCUUUUGAGUACCUUACGUUUCCUCGGUGGGUUCGCCCACCGAUUGGACAAACUUAAACCCUUUGCAGUUGAAAUCAGCGUCUGAAAAAACUUAAUAGUUACAACUUUCAACAACGGAUCUCUUGGUUCUGGCAUCGAUGAAGAACGCAGCGAAAUGCGAUAAGUAGUGUGAAUUGCAGAAUUCAGUGAAUCAUCGAAUCUUUGAACGCACAUUGCGCCCCUUGGUAUUCCAUGGGGCAUGCCUGUUCGAGCGUCAUUUGUACCUUCAAGCUCUGCUUGGUGUUGGGUGUUUGUCUCCUGUAGACUCGCCUUAAAACAAUUGGCAGCCGGCGUAUUGAUUUCGGAGCGCAGUACAUCUCGCGCUUUGCACUCAUAACGACGACAUCCAAAAGUACAUUUUUACACUCUUGACCUCGGAUCAGGUAGGGAUACCCGCUGAACUUAA
rnacentral:sRNA from 1 species